rnacentral:rRNA from 1 species
CACGUAGGGCGCGAGCGUUGUCCGGAAUUAUUGGGCGUAAAGAGCUCGUAGGCGGCCUGUUGCGUCCGCUGUGAAAGCCCGGGGCUUAACCCCGGGUCGGCAGUGGAUACGGGCAGGCUAGAGGUAGGUAGGGGGAGAAUGGAAUUCCCGGUGUAGCGGUGAAAUGCGCAGAUAUCGGGAGGAACACCGGUGGCGAAGGCGGUUCUCUGGGCCUUACCUGACGCUGAGGAGCGAAAGCGUGGGGAGCGAACAGGG